UAUCAUAGUUUCUACAAAACUGAAAAACCGACAUGAAUAGUUUUGGUUUGACUUUUGUUUAAGACUGAAGAGUACAUCUUUUUCUCAAUGUUCUAGACAAAUGAGUAAAAUGUAAUUCUGGUUGGGUCCAAAGUAGACGUUAGUUGGGCAAAGAUACUAUGAAUGGAAAAGUAUUUUAAACGUAAAAUGUUUUGCUUUGUGAAUAUGUAAGUAUAGUAUAAAGAUUUCUUUCAUCCCAUUUAUCCCUCUCCUUUAACAUAAACCAUAGUUUACAAUUGGUAGAUCUGUCUAUAUAUAAAUAUAUAUUAAAGAGAAAAGAUAUAUAUCUAAAAAUCACCUAAGUCUGCUUUAUUAGAUUCACUUAAGUGAACUACAGUUCACUUAUUGCAUAGAAACUGGACUUGGCUUUACAUUCUUAAUGUACUUUUACUUUUCCUUAAGAUAUGAACUUACUCUCUUUAAACUGAAUUUUCUUUUACUACUUAAAUCAUUUAUGUAUAUCUGGUAAAUUAUGACCAAAUUUUUGUUAGAUUGCAUACAGUAAAUUGAAAUACACUCUUGGUACACUACGGGAUUGUUGUGCUUUUGUUUUGGUUUUAGUUGGAAACAAGGUUUGAUGUAGAUGGCUUGUUACUGUUAAUUUAAAAUAUUCUAUAAUUAUUGUCCAUUACCUUUUAUGUUGUGUUGUGACAGAUUUGGCUAUAUUUUUAGUCAACUGAAAUAUACUUUAAGAGUUUGUUUUUAGAAAGGUAAUCCAAAGGAAAAAUGUUUAUACUCUUGAAUAUAUUAGCCUCAGCCUAUAUAAAAAUUUCGUCUUUAAAGUAAACAUUUUACCAGAAACAGAAUUGACAGAUUUUUCUACUUGCUGACUGCCUAACUUAUUUUGUUUCAUGAUCUCGAGGGGACUGCCUUUUCCCUUCCAGAUCUUUUUUAAAAAAAUAGUUUAGUACUAAGGUAUACUACUGGAUGUUUCUAUUUUUUUAAGUAUAUUCUUUUUCUGACUUACAGUACAAUUUCAGGAAGUUGAUAGAUACUAAGAACUUACGAUUGGUCUCAGAGAGGUAACAAUGGAACACUCAAAAUUUUGUCUGUGGAGCCCUGGCGGAAUUAUGUGUUACACAUUUGCUGAAUUUUUCUCUUGUAACUUAUAUUUUAAAUGAAAAAUAUUUUAGAGCUUUUAUUUAAUGAAGAGGAAGAGUAUGAACUGUUCAUUUCCUAUUCAUUUUGUAGUAACAGACCCUCAUAAAUCAAGAUCAUGUAUUCUUUCUUACGAGUCUCAGAGACAGUUACUUCAUACGGUCCCUGAUUUUUCAUUGUUAUUGGCCCUCAUUAUUCAUAUUCACUAGAUAUUUUGCUAAAUUUUAACACCAUAGCAAUUAAGUGCUAAAAAAAAAAAACAUUAUAGGAAGGGGAAACUGAACAGUAAUGCGUAGCUUUGAAAUUUGAGGGGAAAACAUGAGCUGGUUUUGGUAGAGCCAUUCUGAUGAAGGAAGAGUGAGAUGAAGGAGUUAAUUCAUGUAAAGCGCUUAGAACACUGCCUGGUGCAUAAUAGGGGCAUGACACAUCUUAGUUGUUUAAUAAUACAUGGAAAACCAAGACAAAAAGAAGUGGGGAAAGGGGUGGAGAAUAGGGAGAAAAUAGGGAAUGAAAAGAUUGGGGCUUAGAAAUUUGUAGUAAUACAAUGUGCUGUAAAAGGCCUGAAGAUGACUGGAGUAGUAUAAUAGGGGAAAGUGUGAUGGAAGAUGGGUCUUAAAAAUCAUAAAAUUUAAAACCAAUAAGUUUUAUUUAUGUUUUUAGGAUGUUAACAUAGGAUGAAAAAGUUAUUUUUCUGAAUAAUUCCAAAAGCUAGCAUUUUUUUUAGUGCCUGCACUUGCCAUGCGCUUUACAUUAUCUUAUCAAAUUCCCUAUAAGUAGGUGCUAUUGUCUCCAUUUUAUAGAAGAGGAAAGGCUCCAUUGAAAUUUGCUUAAUUUAAUUUGACUCAUGUAACACAGUUACUAAGUGGUAGAGCUGGAUUUGGACCAGGUCUGAUUCUGAAGCCCAUGCUCUUUUUAGGGGGCUCUAUUGCCCCAACUUUUGUAGGAUUUUAGCUCUUGUAAAGGGGUCUGUCUGUGGAGACAUCUUUUCCCUGUGAAACAGCUAUGUUAGCAAUUUGAAUGUCUAAUCCUUCCUCCCCCAAAUAUCCUUAAUACUUUUUCCUCGUAGUACAGCAGUUGUUGUAUCACAUGAUUAUAAACAAGAUACCCAACCUCAGUGUAGCACAUGCUGUUAAUUGGCUAUAGCAUUUUCAUUUUUAAAAGGAUGAUUUUUAACUGAAGAACUAGAUGUGAACCCCAGUUUUUGUGCCGUUCAGUCACCCGGAUCCUUAAACUUAACUAUGGUACAUAAUAUACAUGCUUAGAACUAACAGGUGUUUUUUCUUAGUCACUUUAGGAUUUUAAAUGGAAAGGUUUUUUUUUUUUCUUGCUGUAUCCCUACUUUUCAAGUGAAGUUGAACCGUUCAAGGUAGUUUAAAACGUAUUAGGGAUAAGCACACUUUAAAAGAUGUUUUCUAGCUCUGAAUUUUAUGACAUUGGGUACUUAAAAUUUGGAAUAUGCUGGCUAUUGAGAACAAAAUUUUGGGUUCAGGAGAGGGAUGGUUGAGGCCAUUAUGAAAUGGGAGAAUCAGCAUUUUAAACACUGUAAACAUAAAAGAACACUUUCUUCUGCCUGCUGUUUGUAAAAGCUCUUUGGGAAGAUCUUUUACGAAGACCAAUUUUUUAAUGUAAUUUACCUACCCAGUAUAAGUGUCCUAAGACAUGUAUGUAAACUUCCACAACUGUUUUGUCUGUGUAUUUAGAAAAUACACAAGAAUCUUUAUCAAACCUAAAAAUAUAAACUUGUGAGCACU
ensembl:lncRNA